GUCGACGGUCAACGUUGAAAACACCAGUUCUCGUCCGAUCACUGCAGUUAAACAAUGUUGAGCACGGUUAGUACUUGGAUGUAACCACUUGGGAACUAUGUACUGUUAGCA
rnacentral:rRNA from 1 species